rnacentral:rRNA from 1 species
CAGUAGCCGCGGGAAUACGGAGGGGGCAAGCGCUAUCCGGAAUUAUUGGGCGUAAAGGGUACGUAGGUGGCCUUUUAAGCGUAGGGUAUAAGGCAAUGGCUCAACCAUUGUUCGCCCUAUGAACUGGAAGGCUUGAGUGCAGGAGAGGAAAGCGGAAUUCCUAGUGUAGCGGUGGAAUGCAUAGAUAUUAGGAGGAACAUCAGCGGCGAAGGCGGCUUUCUGGACUGCAACUGACACUGAGGCGCGAAAGCGUGGGGAGCAAACAGGAUUAGAUACCCCAGUAGUCCCUGUCUCUUAUACA